GGGCGCAAGCCUGAUGCAGCGACGCCGCGUGCGGGAUGACGGCCUUCGGGUUGUAAACCGCUUUUGACUGGGAGCAAGCCCUUCGGGGUGAGUGUACCUUUCGAAUAAGCACCGGCUAACUACGUGCCAGCAGCCGCGGUAAUACGUAGGGUGCAAGCGUUAUCCGGAAUUAUUGGGCGUAAAGGGCUCGUAGGCGGUUCGUCGCGUCCGGUGUGAAAGUCCAUCGCUUAACGGUGGAUCCGCGCCGGGUACGGGCGGGCUUGAGUGCGGUAGGGGAGACUGGAAUUCCCGGUGUAACGGUGGAAUGUGUAGAUAUCGGGAAGAACACC
rnacentral:rRNA from 1 species